CGGAGGGUGCAAGCGUUAUCCGGAUUUAUUGGGUUUAAAGGGUCCGUAGGCGGAUCUGUAAGUCAGUGGUGAAAUCUCAUAGCUUAACUAUGAAACUGCCAUUGAUACUGCAGGUCUUGAGUAAGGUAGAAGUAGCUGGAAUAAGUAGUGUAGCGGUGAAAUGCAUAGAUAUUACUUAGAACACCAAUUGCGAAGGCAGGUUACUAUGUCUUAACUGACGCUGAUGGACGAAAGCGUGGGGAGCGAACAGGAUUAGAUACCCUGGUAGUCCACGCCGUAAACGAUGCUAACUCGUUUUUGGGUUUUCGGAUUCAGAGACUAAGCGAAAGUGAUAAGUUAGCCACCUGGGGAGUACGUUCGCAAGAAUG
rnacentral:rRNA from 1 species